CACCAGGCGCGAAAACUCUACAAUGCAGGCAACUGCGAUAGGGGGACAUCGAGUGGCAUCCACCUUGGGUGCCUGUCCCACCGUCUAAAAAACGGUGGUUAGCAAGGGCCGGGCAAGACCGGUGCCAGCCGCCGCGGUAAUACCGGCGGCUCGAGUGGUGGCCGAUAUUAUUGAGUCUAAAGGGUCCGUAGCCGGCUUUGCAAGUCCCCUGGGAAAUCCAGCGGCUUAACCGUUGGGCUUUCAUGGGAUACUACAUUGCUUGGGACUGGGAGAGGUAGGAGGUACUCGGGGGGUAGGGGUGAAAUCCUGUAAUCCCCCGGGGACCACCGGUGGCGAAGGCGUCCUACCAGAACAGGUCCGACGGUGAGGGACGAAAGCUAGGGGCACGAACCGGAUUAGAUACCCGGGUAGUCCUAGCCGUAAACGAUGCCCGCUAGGUGUCACGGCGGUCGUGAAUCGCCGUGGUGCCGUAGGGAAGCCGCGAAGCGGGCCACUUGGGAAGUACGGCCGCAAGGCUGAAACUUAAAGGAAUUGGCGGGGGAGCACAAGGGCGAAUCGCGG
rnacentral:rRNA from 1 species